UGAUUAAAUUAAAAUAUGGAGGGAAUUGUGCCUUAACUGUAAAGAGAGGAUAUCACAAAGCUCCGCAAUUGAAAUGUGCAUCCAAGGGAUGCACUUCGA